UUGAGAAGCAAUUCUGCAUUGCUCAGCGGAAGAAAAUGAAAAUUUAACAGAAAGUGAACUCUUCCAAGUCAAUGAAGAAGAAGCCAGCCCAGUGGGGAAGGAAAUGAGUAUACUGGGACUAGGAAUCUUGUAUGUCUGGGCUCAGGCAAGUGAAAGAAGAAAAAGCACAUGAUGUCCUUUCCGGUGGAGGGAAGCUAUUUAUGUUGGCCCAGCUGCCCACGAAAUGGCAGCCUAUGGCUGGGAGGAAGAGGAAAGAGGGAGUUGGCUCAGAAAAGAUGCUUGGAAAUGGAGACUUGGACUGUUGGGCAAAGAACUGGAGGGCUGGAGGCAGACAUUAAGUUCACAGAGAAAUUACUGGUUUGAAAAGGGGUUGUAUGGGAAUGAACCAAUGACUGAGCACCUGGUGAAGGUACACAGCCAGCCCAGGGAGCACAGGUGAAAACAAUUCACCUGUGUGACUGGAACCAGGUUCCACCUCUCCCUAAGCCUCAUUUAAGGGGUGGCUGCUCCAAGGGAAGGAUCUGUACCUGCAGAUCCUUCCUUUUGGUGUAUUUGUAAGACCUGAUCCUGGGGGGUGUACUCUAGGCAAAUUAAAAUAAUAAUACAUGAUAAUACAAGUAAGGAAACCCACGUCCACCCUGCUGAACCACACCGCCUCUUUAAACCAUGCUGAGAUGAGAGCUGCUGGUGAAGUACCCUUCAAAUCUCUGGUAUUCCUUGGAAAUUACAUAGCAACUUAUGAAAGCAAUGGGAACAUUACUAAUAUAACACCAUGUCAUCUCCUGAUAUCAGUGUAAAUGCCUUGGAUCACCACAGUAUUUGAUAACAUCACAAAGAUAAAUGUUUCAUCCAUGCAUAAUUCCAACAGUGGAGGAUGAAUGUGGCAGCAAGACAAUUUGCAUUCCUGCAAACGUACCAAAGCUCAAUGGAUAUAACUGACACAAAAAUGUAGAAGUAUUUUAGAGAAGCACUGAAAGUCGGUGUCUGUUUCUGUGGAGAAAGAUUGAGGUGAGUGUGUUCAACCAUGCCAUAAAGAAAAAACCAAACUUACUUCAUAGUUUUCAAAACCUAUCCAGGGAGAAAGGAUUAUGGUCUGACUUCCAAUCCACAGUGAAUUAAUUACUUGUUUGUUACUGAGUACAAAAGAUUAAACUGAAGCUUUAGGCAGAGCAAGUCUGAUGCGGCUGUGCAUCAGUGAUUUCAACUGCUGGUCAUAAAAACAAAGUACCAUUUUAAAAGUUACCAAGCUUUCUUAGUGUUGUUCUAUGCCCAUCACUGGAUCCAGGUGCAGCAGCUCCAGAGACAAACAGGUACCACAGCUUGCUCCUGCAUCUCCAUCUUCACAGCCCCAUACAAGUCAUCCCCAAGAAGUCCAUUCCUAUGUACUCUAUACCAGGUAAUUCUUGCUCUCAUUACAAUUAAAACUGUGUGCUUACUCUGUGAUCUCGGCAAGAGACUUAUUAAAGUCAACCAACAGCAGCUCUUUGGUAGUACAAAAGCUUGUUUUGAGUACCUAAAGCAAGCCCAGUCAACAGAACCCUGGACUUUUUAUGGGUUACCUUCAGAAGCUCUGAGAUACCACUGAUACCUGCAAAUUCAUGAAGGAAAACCAAUAGGAAAGCAAGUAACAGUACUAAAUAUUAAAUGCAAAGAGCACAGCUGUAUGAAGCAGUUGAAUCCCUUGCUAGCUAUACUGCAGACAUGGACAGGUGGGAUCAUGGAUUAAGGAAGAGGUAAUGAUAAAUAAAAGAGAAAGGAAUCAAACACAGUGAAAAUGCUGAUAAUUGAAGACUAUGUACUAGAGCUAACGCUUUCAGCAAUGUUUGUCUAAAGCACAGCGCUCAGGGAAAGUGCAUUAGCAUCCCAAAACAAAUGCAAAGCCCAGUUCAACCAAACAGCUUCAUAUAAAUUUUAUGUUUCUGUAUUGCACAUUCAAAAGCUGUGAGGUGUGGAAGCUGUCUGCAUGGUAAAUUUCCGUCUAGAGAAAAUUUCCCCAGACUGAGGUUUCAAGCACAAAUGCAACAUGUUUUCCAUUAAUACCACUAAAAAAUUCUGCAGAUGUUGCAGGAUGAUGUUAUUGCUUAUAAAAAGUAACAAUAAUGCAGACAAAGAAAAGAUUGUUCACAAUUCUUUAGAAACUCUGGGGAAUUUCAUGGUGAAAUACAGAGGUUAAUUUGGGAUCAAUGCAGACCUACAUGAACUUUUCAACGCUGAGAAGAAUCUGAGGCACCACUGUAAGACCAGAAUAAAAAAAAAAAAGGUAAGGGAACAACAAUGAUUGAAAAGAGUUUGAUAUUUAUCCAAUCCUGCAAGCAAGUUACUUCAUUUUCAGUCUAAAGUCUCAGUCCAGAAAACUGUUCUACAUGGGCAGCACUGUGCUUCACCCAUGCAAUACAAUUUUCAGGAUCAAAGAUUUCAGAAAAUUCUCAUGUCAGCCUAUAGGCAUCAUGUGAAAAGUUUUGCACUUUUCAUGCAGUGGAAAUCAAAGCUCUCAAAGUGUAUCUGAAAACUGUGAAUCCCUGUGACUUUCAAUGGCAUCUCAAGAGACUCCUGGCAAGCUCCUGCCUCCUCUGUGAGCCUGUAUGCUGUGCUUGCCAAGAUUGCAUUGAGCCUGUCCCUGGAACAGGACCAGAGAGAUGAUUUAUCUGGAGCAAUGGACUUAUUGGAUCAACUGUCCAGUCUUGCUCUUGCCAGCUCUGCUGAGUGGUGGCAGAGAGCAGUGAAAAACAGGCAAGAGAAAGUAACACCUGCUAACGUUGACCUCAGCAUCUCUACCAAAGCAUGUAAGACCAAAGCAAAGCGCUUAAUUCUUGUGAUCAGGUUAUUUCCCACCAGGCUGCUCCUGCUCAACAACCCUAUGAUGUAUGACGAAAUUACUCACCGCCAGCAA